rnacentral:rRNA from 1 species
UACGUAGGGGGCAAGCGUUAUCCGGAUUUAUUGGGCAUAAAGAGCUCGUAGGCGGCCGUUCGCGUCGGAUGUGAAAGCUCAGGCUCAACUCUGAGACGCCAUUCGAUACGGGACGGCUAGAGGUAGGUAGGGGAAAGUGGAAUUCCUGGUGUAGCGGUGAAAUGCGCAGAUAUCAGGAGGAACACCGAUGGCGAAGGCAGGUCUCUGGGCCACUACUGACGCUGAGAAGCGAAAGCGUGGGGAGCGAACAGG